rnacentral:rRNA from 1 species
UAGUCGGGGUGAGAGUGGCGAACGGGUGAGUAAUGCGUGACCAACCUGCCCUGUGCACCGGAAUAGCUCCUGGAAACGGGUGGUAAUACCGGAUGCUCCGCUCCAUCGCAUGGUGGGGUGGGAAAUGCUUUUGCGGCAUGGGAUGGGGUCGCGUCCUAUCAGCUUGUUGGCGGGGUGAUGGCCCACCAAGGCGUUGACGGGUAGCCGGCCUGAGAGGGUGACCGGCCACAUUGGGACUGAGAUACGGCCCAGACUCCUACGGGAGGCAGCAGUGGGGAAUAUUGCACAAUGGGCGCAAGCCUGAUGCAGCGACGCCGCGUGCGGGAUGGAGGCCUUCGGGUUGUAAACCGCUUUUGUUCAAGGGCAAGGCACGGUUUCGGCCG